rnacentral:rRNA from 1 species
UACGUAGGGUGCAAGCGUUAAUCGGAAUUACUGGGAGUAAAGCGUGCGCAGGCGGUUCGUUGUGUCGGUGGUGAAAGCCCCGGGCUUAACCUGGGAAUGGCCAUGGAAACUGGCGAACUGGAGUGUGGCAGAGGGGGGUGGAAUUCCGCGUGUAGCAGUGAAAUGCGUAGAGAUGCGGAGGAACACCGAUGGCGAAGGCAGCCCCCUGGGCUAGCACUGACGCUCAGGCACGAAAGCGUGGGGAGCAAACAGG